CUGGUUAGUUUGUGAACUUAAAACUUCUAGUAGAUGUACUUCAGGAUGAUCUGAUCAGGAAGGUGAGAUGACCAGCAAGUGAUCUCAACAAUAAUCUAUGCAGGUGACCAACUCGGCGACGGGCGCGUCGACGACGGUGAGGAUCGUGGACCAGUGCAGCAACGGCGGGCUCGACCUGGACUACGACACGGCCUUCAGCAAGAUCGACAACGGGCAGGGUGUCAACGAUGGCCACCUCACCGUCAGCUACCAGUUCGUCGAUUGCGGCGAACCCCGCGAGUAGCAGCAGCACAUACAGCGUUGCUGUUCCAAGAAUUAUGUAAUAACCCCACACGGCUACACGUACAUUGCGGAUGAAUAAGUAGUGGGCGCGGUCCAAUGCAAGCAUUAUUGUUGUCGAAUAAUUAAUGGAAUAAAAUGUUAUAUCAAAAUAUUUGUCAAUAUUAACUUUUGAUCACGACGUUUGACUAUUCAUCUUAUUCAAAAAAAAUUAAGUAUCAUUUAUUUUGUUUGUGGUUUACUUUGUCAUCAAAGGUAUUUUAAUAAUGAUUUAUUUCGUAUAUUUGUAACAAGUUUUUAAAUAAGAUGAAUUGUUAAACAUUGUGAGAAAAAAUCAACAACGACAAAUGUUUUGAUACAGAGAGAGUGUUUACACCAAGUGGGAUGAACUGAAUCCAUGUGGGUACUCGAUUGUGUCAAGUGAUAUCUCAAGGAUAAUCUUAGUGACCUGCGCCUGCUUCUGAAGAUGAGCACUAUUUCUUGCUACUUAAAUUUCUAAGACAUGGCGUGUUGCAUGCAACCACAUGAAAACUCUGAUGCCUGAUGGCUACUUCUUCACCUGGAUGCUGCCGUCACAUGUCUUCGCCGUCUCCUUUGGGCUGGCCGGGUCAAUGUUGGCAACUGGAUCUUGAAAUAAUCCUGAGGCACGAGUAAGGGGGUGUUUGGCAGGGAGGGGUUAAAUUUUAGCCCCUGUCACAUCGGAUGUUUGGACACUAAUUAGGAGUAUUAAACAUAGUCUAAUUACAAAACUAAUUGCACAACCCCUAGGCUAAAUCGCGAGACGAAUCUAUUAAGCCUAAUUAGUCCAUGAUUUGACAAUGUGGUGCUACAGUAACCAUUCGCUAAUGAUGGAUUAAUUAGGCUUAAUAGAUUCGUCUCGCGAUUUAGCCUAUGGGUUCUGCUAUUAGUUUUUUAAUUAGCUCAUAUUUAGUCCUCCUAAUUAGCAUCUGAACGUGUGAUGUGACAGGGCUAAAGUUUAGCCCCUGACAUCCAAACGCCCCCUAACUCGGCUUGCUCAGCAGGUACGGGUACAAUACGUUACGAUUUGGCGAGGAAAUUUUUCACACGAUUUUGGGGCAGUUUCCGGACGAGAAGAGUCAAUGCUCCACUUAAGCAUAGCUCUUGUAAUGGCGAUGAGCACUAUAUAGUGGUGCAUGAAGUACGGCCACCUCACCAUCAAGGACUACCAGUUGGUCGAAUUAAGAUAAAAAUUUGAAUCUACGACGAUCAAGUACGUACAGCAUGUGCUUCUUCCACUACUAGGUUUGAUCGACAAGUGUCGCGUUCUACUAUCUUUACUCCUUGUUGAUCCAGGAGACCCAGUGCUCUCAAAAGUUCUUAUUUCUCAUCAUUUCACCACAAUCAGAGAAAGAGAAAUUUUAGAGUAGUGCUUGAGAAAAAAUGAGAGCCGUCCAUCUGGCAAAAUCGAACAGUGGAAAUAAAAGAAGUACCAUGAAGUACCUAAAGAGAAGUACCAAUUUGGUGGGACCAAAUACAAAAAAUAGUGAGAAAUUACUAUGAUACCCUUUGAAUAUAAUUAUGUGUAAGCCUAUUUGAUUUUUUUAAAGAAAGAUAAGAAAGAAAAGUAUCUGCAAGUACCGUUGGUACUUUGAAAGUAUUGUAACAAAGCUUUCAUAGAAAAGUCCAUUUUACAUUAUGAGAAGCUUUCUGGACGUCAAGCUUUGAAAUGGUUCCAAAUUGUUUCUUGAUGAUCUAAGUUCAUGCAGGAUAUCAUGUAAGAGUACCACUCCAUCCAGACUAUUUCCUGCAGGUGUAAAAGUAGUUUCACCUUUCAAUAUGAGACCUUAUCUGCUAGCUAGAGGAGUAAAGCCUCAAGACUUAAGUACAGUGUUUUUGUAGACCACUUGUACUCCACUCCCAGGAGGCUAAUGAUUGUUUGCUUUACAAACACAACAUAUCAUCUUUAAAUAUCUCUUCUUCCUGCAGGUAUUAUAUUAAGAUAUAUGAAAAGGAAAUGUCUAAUAACUAGCCAAGUGAACAACAUUCAUGCAUGUUGAUACGUGUCACCCAAAGAAAUAAACAACUAAUCUAAAGAUGCCGUUUCUCUUUGUUAAUCCAACGACGGCACGCAAGAUAUAGCAUGCAAGUUAGGACUUAAGGUCGUCUCAGUGUAUGAUUUCAUCAUACUAUUAUCAAAAUUGUCAUGUCAUCUUUUUAAUAGAAUGAAACUACCACUCUCAGUGCACAGUUUCAUAGACAGCCUGCAACAUUUAAUUUUUGCGUAGAGUUAUGAUCAAAUAUGUCAUGCGAUGAAACUAUAUCAUCCUUGGUGCAAAUUUCAUUAGAUUUCAUGAGACUUGAUAACUGUGUCAAGUGGGUUUCAUGGGGAUGAAACUCCUCUCUCCUCUCUCUUCAUAAUUAAGUUGCCAAGUCAGCAAAACUGCUGAUGUGCCAUAUGAUUUAAUGUCCAAUAAACUCUCCAUGACACCCACUGAGACCGUCACCAGGCUCUCCAAGCAGGUCAAUUUAAGCUGCCGCGUGCAAUAACCACAUGCACGUAUGUACGUCUUCUUCCACGUUGGAGAUUGGCAUUGGCCCCAGCUAGUCAAACGUUUGCCAAUCCCUCUUGGAGUUCCCAGACACGUACGUGCGGCUCAUCAGAAAGCCAUUUACUAGUUCAGCAUCCAAAGAAUAUGAAGGUCUUUCGGUUGACGACGAAACUGGUGAGCAAAAUUUUGGCGCAAAUUAAACGAGCUGAUCGAAUUAUUAACGCGUGUAACCAUAUAUGAUCUUUUUUGCUGGGAAUAUCAUCGUUCAUGCCACGUACGCAUGCAAAGAACAGAUGGCUGAAUAACACACACGUACGUUCUUGCUGCAACUCAAGUAUGGCUGAACUAACUGCAGUCUCAGGCUCUCAGCAACAGUACAAGACACCGUUUGAUGAUCGAUCGGCUAGAGAACGCACGGCGUGCGUACGUGUUCGAUGCAUUGACGAGUCGUAUGCACGGGCAGGAAUAAUUCUAGCCGUCCUGCUCACGGAUGGUGCCACCAGAUGAAUUCUCCAGAUGAUGCAACAAGGGCACUCUGGUCAUAUAGUUUCUGAACCCGCUCCAUUCAUGGUGGUGCCUUUGGUCACGCAGAUCGAUCAUCAAGCAAAGCUGCCAGACCCAAAGUAUUUAACAUGAUGGGAUUUGGUUUGGUAAUCAGCCACUCUACACAAGCUAGCUUUUACGAUUAGAAAGCAAGUUUCACGAUUAGCAACAAAUAUUAUUAGUAGCGUAUUGCAAGCUUGCGUCGCGCUAAGAGCAUGUACAAACCAAGCUUCGGUAGGCUUAAUCUCUAUCAAGAGCCUAUCCUUCCUCAGAUUCUUCGGGAGCCCCAAGAGAGAUAUGAACCGGCGGCCAUCGCCCUGGCUAAGAAUGCUAUAGGCCUUUAGCGUAUCAUCACGAUCCAAGCCAUAGCCUGGGAUCUCCUCAAGUGCCACCAAAAUUUGCGGCACUUGCACUGCAGGCUCUGCCGACAAUUUGUAAGAAGAUAUUUUGCUUGCCGAGUCGAUCUUGUGGUUGCCAAGGCAACAAACAAUGCAGAUGACGUUCAGUUAUCUCCUCGAUCCAGAUCGACGGCCAAGACGUACGAACGGGUCAAGAUUUGCAGGCUACAUAGCCUGUACCUUACUUCCCAUCUCGAUGCAAUUAAGUCACAGCCUGACUCUGUCUCUGAGUCCGGACACCGCGUGCUGAAUCCUAGCACGUAGUAUUGCACUUGGAAUUCAAAUGCCGGCGACGUAUGGGUCCACUGCUGGUGAAUGCGUCUUCAGUAUCGGGUCCAAACCCUCCUUUAGUGCUAUUUAUUUGAUCCGGUACUAAAGAGGUGCUAAAUGUAAUAAAGGGUGCUAAAUUAGUACCAGGCCAAAUAACUAGUACUAAAGGAGUGUCUUUAGUACUGGUUGUUUAUACCAACCGGUACUAAUUUGGAACCCCACCCGGCCACCCUCGUGAUCCGGCCGGCUGUGCCUCCUCUCGUCACCGCUGGCCGCGCUUCCUCCUCUUCAGCCGAGCCUGGUCCCGGCCCUCGUCCAUGUCGCCACACCUCCCCCGCGACCCCCUAACAGCACCCUCGCGCCUAGCCCUUGCCCAACCAACCACCCUCACGACACGCUCCGCUAGCCCCUCGCACCGCUGACCACCCUCGCAAGAGAGAGAGAGAGAGGUGAGGCCACGCACCUCGUCCUGUCGUGCCUCAGCGCUCUCCCACCGCACCGGCCUGCAGAUCUGCACCACGCUGCAGAUCCCGCUGCUCCACGCGCCGUCACCCGGUGCAACUCCCUGCACCGUCGCCCGCCACUCCGCCUCUGCACUCCCCAACUGCCAUGUUGUCGCCUCACCUCGCCCCACCACCGCUCCUCGCUGGCAUUGCAGUGAGAGGCACGUCGGAGAGGAGAGGGGAGGGGCAGCCAUGAGGGAAGGGAAGGGAAGGGGCACAUGGAAUGGGAGGAAGAGAAGGGGUAUCGUUCGGGAGAGAGAGGGAGAGUCACGAGCGGAUAAGAUGGAGAGGAGCGGUUGCGUGCGGUGGACUUCAAUCCAGUGAAGUCUAAAUUUCAGGUCCCUACCGUCUCCCGAACCAAUUAGUACUGGGUGGAGUCUCCACCCGGUACUAAAGACCCUGAGGCACAUUAGUACCGGUUGGAGGCUUCAACCGGUAGUAAUUUGUGACCUUUACUAAAGAGGGUCACGAGGCUCCUCGGAACUAGCUGUUAGACCCGGUACUAAUGCUUACAUUAGUACCAUAUCAAUACACAACCGGUACUGAGCUUCGGGAUGAAUGGUCAGUUUCCAGUAGCGGUCAGUUAGUUGGAGUCGGAGGCUCGCUCUGCUAGUAGGAAGUGCCAGGCUGCCAGCGAAGCAACGGACGCACACACAGACAGCACAAAGCAUAGGUCAGCGUUGCAUUGGAAACUUGGAAUAGGACGACGAAAGAUGAUGAUGAUCAACGACCGGGAAGCUUAGUAGGAUAAGGCCGGCGAUCGAGACUGAUGAUCUCAUGAACGCCGGCGAGAUGGACAUGGAUGAUGGGCAUGCUGGCGACACCGGAAUUGUAGGCGUCUUCUGUGCAUCUCCUUAUUCUUGAAAGAGUCAAGUAGAAGUCCACGUUGUGGGGCAUCGAGACCACAAUAUAAAGCCCAUGAUCGAGCUAGAAGCGUACCGUACCAGCAUCACGACAUCGGCGUUGCCACUCUCGUUGCAUUCCAUAUAGCUGUGCUGUGAAGUAAUCGAGUAAGUUCUCCCAGCAGCAGCUAGCCAUGGCGGCGAUGAUCGCCGGUGCGCGGGCGCUCGCGGUGGCGGCCCUCCUCUGCGCGGCCGUGGCGGCGGCCGCAGCGCAGCAGGCGUCCAACGUCCGCGCGACGUACCACCUCUACAACCCGGCGGAGAACGGGUGGGACCUGAACCGCGUCGGCGCCUACUGCGCCACCUGGGACGCCGGCAAGCCGCUGUCGUGGCGGCAGCAGUACGGCUGGACCGCCUUCUGCGGGCCCGCGGGGCCCAGGGGCCAGGCCGCCUGUGGCCAGUGCAUCCGGGUACGUAGGAUUGAAGCUCGCUUUUGCUUGAGAAACAUAUGUGGUCGCCGGACUUCAGCACUGCUUCAAGCUCAAGAUGCUGAUGAACAUUUUGCAGGUGACGAACCGCGGGACGGGCGCGUCGAUCACGGCGAGGAUCGUGGACCAGUGCAGCAACGGCGGGCUGGACCUGGACUUCGAGACGGUGUUCAAGAAGAUCGACACCAACGGGCUGGGCUACCAGAUGGGACACCUCAACGUCGACUACCAGUUCGUCGGCUGCUGAGUCAGAGAGAGAGAGAGUGGGGGGGGGGGCAUCGACAGUGUAGUCAGGCAGGGUAUCGGACGUUUGGUGUUGUGGAGUAAUGAGAUGGAUAGCAGAAGCUUUGCGUCUUUAGUUUGCAGGCAUGUGUGUGCAAAAUACUAAAUAAAUGGAACCAAAACAGAAAUAAGUUGCAUGUCAAUGUUUUCUCGCGUGUUAAAUUGUUAGUUCUGAUCCUUUUGCUUUCCAACAUACGAGAUAAAUCAUGUUCAUCUUUAAUAUAUUUUUUAUGCUGCCGGUUCAAUUUAAUUGUCUGUUGAUAUGCGAAAUGUGGCAUCAAAAUAUCCAAGAAGUUUUUGGCUUUUACACGGCAUACAAACUUCACUUUCAGACCUCAUCUUCAUGCUCAAGCGGCGAACCAGACAGUUUCCCUUCUCAAACUGGCAUCGUCUGCGAUGAUGUUUGAACACGCAUCGCAGUCCGAUAACCGCAGGAUGGGUCACUGGUUUUGACUAGAUUCUGCAAUAGAAAAAGUCAUUCCAUAGUAGAUUGGAAGAAUUAAUCCAGAUCACCAUGAAUCAUGAAUGAUCAGAUCAAUCUUGAACUAACUGUCAAUCUAGAAAUGUGUGGCCGUACGUUUCAGAUACUCUUUUACUACGUUCUCUAUAAUUUUAUAGAUAGUCUUGCACCAUAAUCAAGAAUAGGGAAAUCUGUUCGUGGCAUACUGUGAAAGUGUGAUUUUGUGUGAUGCACACUGUUGCUUCUAUCCAUGAAUAUUUCACUGCUGCAAGUAGGAUUAUCAUAGUCUCUAUCCAGGGUUUGAGUUUCCAUCUGUUGAUGUUACCAUAUGGGUUGUUUGGGAGAAAAUAGUCCAUUUUUUUACUAAGUCGUUAAAUUUCUAUAUUAACGAAAUCUGCAUCCACCCCUUACUAUUAAUCAACAUGUCAUCUGUCACUGAAACAAUAACACCAUUUAUUUAUAGGAUAAAUUCCUCGUGGCUUAUUGGGAAAAUAAAUCUAUCUAGUCAAAGUCAAGUACGUAUACUUCAUGUAUCCGUAUACUUUAUGUAUCCAUGAUCAGUUCUAAACCUAGUCUCAAUGGAAGUUCCAUAGAGAGUUUUAUGAGCAUUAAAUUUCAUGCCACAUCAGCAACUUGGCUAACUUGGCAAGAUCAUUCAAAUGAGAGGACGGGGAAUUUCAUCAGAUGAGAGAGGAGUUUCAUCCCCAUGACAGUCAGUUGACGCGGUUACCUAGUUCCCGAUCUUAGUAACUGUGCAAUAAAACUGUACACCGAUCAAGUUUUAACUCUUUUUUUUUAUCCAAUAUCGUGUUUUAACUUUCAAGUAGGGCUCCGCCUCCACGAUCUCCACUCUACUUCCAAAGGAUAUGUUAAGUAAUCCUUGCAAGUACCUUUUGGUAACUUUCGAAGCGCAGUAAGAAAACCUCACUUCAUGGCCAACCAAUGCAACCAUCGAUCAAUGCACAGAAGAGAGUAGUGCACGUGGUUGCUGCAGCGGCGGCCGCCGUCAAUCAUAUCUUCUGCUCUCUCUCCUAGCAAGCUAGGCAGCCAAGAUAGGUCAAGAUCUGCGUGCCACCAGCUAGUGUGGCUGCUUAGCUUCUUCCUCCCAUGUCCAUGUUAACGAGUGCGCCGGCCACCAAAGACUUUUGCUCCUCUUCGGUCUGGAGUCCAGAGUCCAGACGGUACAGUGCUGCUGGAAUUCCAUGCCAUGGCGGGCUGGUGGCGCACGCACCUCGGAGGCCGACGGCGACGACGCUUGCGCUUCCACACACCUGGCGCUCGCUCUGGCCACGUGCAUGCAUCAUGUGUGUGUGUGUGUAGCUCGCUCUCGAUCGCUUUCCGUUGCCAUCCGACGCACGCAAGAAGAUGCAGUGCGCGGCGGCGAGUUGGCAGCUCCCGCUUGACCGAUCUCGAGCCGCCGCACGGGCCGGUCAACUUGGAAAGGGACAUGGCCACAUGGGAUCGAGAACACUGGAGGAUAAUAUAAACUAGCUAGAGGACACGGCCGGUGAGACUAGUUCCGCCAACACCGGCGGCGAGCUGUGAGGACAAUGUGAAUUGUGGUAGGCAAUCACCGGCCGGGGGUAGAAUGAAACCCUAGCAUCACUUUUCUUCUGUCCUUGCAAGAAAAUUCAACAUUGUCCGGCACCCGGGCCUCUAUAUAAGCUGGCAGCCUCAGCUGCAAUCCACUCCACGGAACACAACACCUCACAGGCAUCGUUCGUGCCAACCACUGCAUUCUACAUCGACUUGGCAUCUGCCAAAACUAGGAGCUCACAAGGUCGGCAUCCUACUCUGUUCAAUUCUUUCCUCGCCAGAAACACAGAUGCUAAAUUGCUUCUUGAUGUACAAAUUUGUUGUGAAUUCAGGACCCAGCAGCUAUGGCGGCGAUCACGGGUGGACGGGCGCUCGCGGUGGCGGCGCUCCUCUGCGCCAUGGCGGCGAUGGCCGCUGCGCAGUCGGCAUCCAACGUGCGCGCGACGUACCACCUGUACAACCCGGCGCAGAACGGCUGGGACCUGAACCGCGUCAGCGCCUACUGCGCCACGUGGGACGCCAACAAGCCGCUGUCGUGGCGCCAGAAGUACGGCUGGACCGCCUUCUGCGGGCCCUCGGGCCCUAGGGGCCAGGCCUCCUGCGGCAAGUGCAUCAAGGUACUCCUUUGUUAGCUAUUUCAAUAUUCGAAUGAAACUAAUGAUUUUUUUUAAUCAGCAAUUGGUCUCUUGUUAGGCAAAUUUGACCCACAAGAUUACAACACAAUUGGCACCACUUCUAGAACAAAAUUAAUGGUCAAACCGUACCUAAUUGUUAUUUGAAAUGAUGUAAAAUUGUGCAAUCCACUCAUAUAUAUGCUUGGAUGUUGAUCGAAUUUGAUUAAAAUUGCACGUAGGUGACGAACCGUGCUACGGGCGCGUCGACCGUGGCGAGGAUCGUGGACCAGUGCAGCAACGGCGGGCUGGACCUGGACUUCGAGACGGUGUUCAAGAAGAUCGACACCAACGGGCAGGGCUACCAGAUGGGGCACCUCAACGUCGACUACCAGUUCGUCGCCUGCUGAGGAAGCUCCCGCACGUACGGACGGAUGAAAAUAUGAAAUAAGCGUCGCUUAGAUGCGUGGCAUGAUGGAAUAAGAUUAAAUGUAACAAAAAAAAAGACCCGG
rnacentral:lncRNA from 1 species